rnacentral:rRNA from 1 species
UUAAGCAUAUCAAUAAGCGGAGGAAAAGAAACCAACAGGGAUUGCCUCAGUAACGGCGAGUGAAGCGGCAACAGCUCAAAUUUGAAAUCUGGCCCUAGGCCCGAGUUGUAAUUUGCAGAGGAUGCUUUUGGUGCGGUGCCUUCCAAGUUCCCUAGAACGGGACGCCAGAGAGGGUGAGAGCCCCGUACAGUUGGACACCAAGCCUUUGUAAAGCUCCUUCGACGAGUCGAGUAGUUUGGGAAUGCUGCUCAAAAUGGGAGGUAUAUUUCUUCUAAAGCUAAAUACCGGCCAGAGACCGAUAGCGCACAAGUAGAGUGAUCGAAAGAUGAAAAGCACUUUGAAAAGAGGGUUAAACAGCACGUGAAAUUGUUAAAAGGGAAGCGCUUGUGACCAGACUUGCGUCCGGUGAAUCACCCAGCUCUCGCGGCUGGGGCACUUCGCCGGCUCAGGCCAGCAUCAGCUCGCUGUCGGGGACAAAAGCUUCAGGAACGUAGCUCUCUUCGGGGAGUGUUAUAGCCUGUUGCACAAUACCCUUCGGCGGGCUGAGGUACGCGCUCCGCAAGGAUGCUGGCAUAAUGGUCAUCAGCGACCCGUCUUG